rnacentral:rRNA from 1 species
UGGGUAAUAUUGGACAAUGGGCGAAAGCCUGAUCCAGCCAUGCCGCGUGUGUGAAGAAGGUCUUCGGAUUGUAAAGCACUUUAAGUUGGGAGGAAGGGCAGUAAGCGAAUACCUUGCUGUUUUUACGUUACCGACAGAAUAAGCACCGGCUAACUCUGUGCCAGCAGCCGCGGUAAUACAGAGGGUGCAAGCGUUAAUCGGAAUUACUGGGCGUAAAGCGCGCGUAGGUGGUUCGUUAAGUUGAAUGUAAAAGCGCCGGGCUCAACCUGGGAACUGCAUCCAAAACUGGCGAGCUAGAGUAGGGCAGAGGGUGGUGGAAUUUCCUGUGUAGCGGUGAAAUGCGUAGAUAUAGGAAGGAACACCAGUGGCGAAGGCGACCACCUGGGCUCAGACUGACACUGAGGUGCGAAAGCGUGGGGAGCAAACAGG